rnacentral:rRNA from 1 species
CGAACGCUGGCGGCGUGCCUAACACAUGCAAGUCGAACGAGGUCCAUCCUUCGGGAGAAGACCUAGUGGCGAACGGGUGAGUAACACGUGAAGAACCUGCCCCGAAGACCGGGAUAACCCUCCGAAAGGAGAGCUAAUACCGGAUACCCCCACGAACCGCAUGGUUUGGUGAGGAAAUGGAUUCCGCUUCGGGAGGGCUUCGCGGCCUAUCAGCUAGUUGGUGGGGUAACGGCCCACCAAGGCAUCGACGGGUAGCUGGUCUGAGAGGACGAUCAGCCACACUGGGACUGAGACACGGCCCAGACUCCUACGGGAGGCAGCAGUGGGGAAUCUUGCGCAAUGGGCGAAAGCCUGACGCAGCAACGCCGCGUGGGGAUGAAGGCUCUCGGGUUGUAAACCCCUUUCAGCAGGGACGAAUCAAGACGGUACCUGCAGAAGAAGCCCCGGCUAACUACGUG